AGGGGAGGGGAAUCGGGUGGGAUAGAGAACGCUGCUGUCCAGAACUCCUCUCCUGAAAUGAAGAAGCGCCUUCUGAAAGGUCCACUGUCUUGUGAUAUUUCAGCAUGACGUUUGUUCAGGUGAACACCUCAAAACAGAUAUUUGGAAUUGCUGGGCCUCUUCUCACCUUUCAAAUAAUGGCUUUUGGACACCUGAUGAUUUCUCCCUGAAGACGUCGUUCGCAGGCUCGCCUGGAAUUGUGUUCAUCAGCCUCUCAAGUCUGUUCUGCUCUUUGGGUUUCAAGUCGUUGAAUCUUUUGGGCUCCUUGUGCUCUCUUAUCUCUUUUGCUUUGUCUGAUUCAUGCUUGUGUUUCUUCUCAAGCUGGUUGACUUCUGUCUCUCUCGGCUUUUUACCUUCUUUGACUAUUUCUUUAAGUCGUUUCUCAGUAUGGUGCUUUUCAUCGCCAUGCUCGUAUCUAUGCGCCAUUUUAUUCUUGGGCUCAUCUGUACGUUUUCUUUUCUUGUCUUUCAUCGACUGAUUUGCAUCAGGUAGUGAAUCCAGUUGCUGUUUGAUGUCCAAGCUCCUGCAACCACCACCAACAACAACGAACAAUACAACCGCCAUUUUACAACCUAAGACAAACAGUGUGACAGAACAGUAUGUAAUAUUUCAUAUGUUUUAUAAGUCUGGUCCCAGCCACUGGCGGAGCGAGUAUUUUCUUUCCUGCUUGGGGUGGGCAAAGAUAUCUCAGUAAAAGAAAAAGUAAAAUGUAUUUUUGCAAACCCAAAAAAUUAAAGAUUCAGUAUGGAUGGGUGGAAAUGUAGAAAAAAAAAAUCCAAAAUUAAUUAUGUGGCCUGGCACCUGUGCAUAUUUUGGGUUGGGGGCUGGCAGUGCCCCUGCGACCCCCCCUGAUCUAGCACCGCCAGUGGACUGGACAUGGCCCCUGCUUGGCCUGCCUUCACAAAUGGGGCAGUAGCCCCACCCCACUGUGUGCUUGUGGAGAGGAGCAAACCAUGGAACACAUCAUAGAAGUUUGUACUCUCCACAGACUUAAAGGAGGGUUAGU